GACGAACGCUGGCGGCGUGCCUAAUACAUGCAAGUCGAACGCUUCUUUCUCACCGAGUGCUUGCACUCACCGAGAAAGAGGAGUGGCGGACGGGUGAGUAACACGUGGGUAACCUGCCCAUCAGAGGGGGAUAACACUUGGAAACAGGUGCUAAUACCGCAUAACAGUCAACACCGCCUGGUGUUGAAAAUGAAAGACGCUUUCGGGUGUCGCUGAUGGAUGGACCCGCGG
rnacentral:rRNA from 1 species